rnacentral:rRNA from 1 species
UAUGUGAUCGUCUCUCGCAUAUCAAUAAGCGGAGGAAAAGAAACUAACAAGGAUUCCCCUAGUAACGGCGAGUGAAGCGGGAAGAGCUCAAAUUUGAAAUCUUAAAGGGUUUCCCUUUACGAAUUGUAGUUUAAAGAAGUGUUUUCUGUUGAGGUUUUGGUAAAAGUUCUUUGGAAUAGGACAUCAUAGAGGGUGAGAAUCCCGUAUUUGACCUUUACUUUCAACUUUGUGAUACACUUUCAAAGAGUCGGAUUGUUUGGGAAUGCAGUCCAAAAUGGGUGGUAAAUUUCAUCUAAAGCUAAAUAUUGGCGAGAGACCGAUAGCGAACAGGUACCGUGAGGGAAAGAUGAAAAGAACUUUGAAAAGAGAGUUAAACAGUACGUGAAAUUGUCAAAAGGGAAGCGUUUGACACCAGUGUUGUUUUUCUGAAAAUCAAUUAAAGAACUGUUUAUGCUAAGCCGUUUAGACUUUAUCAGCUAUCUGUUUAGUUUUGAGCUUUUCUUUAAUGCACUUUUCAGUUAACAAGUCAACAUCAAUUUCUUUUGCUGUAAAAAAGCUUGAGGAAGGUGGCUUGAGAUUCGUCUUAAGUGUUUAUAGCCUCUUGCCUAUGCAGUCGGAGAGAUUGAGGUCUGCAGCGUAGAUCCUUCGGGGCUAAAUGCAUUUGUGCUAAGUUAUAGCAUUUUAUAGACAACUUGUUGACUAUGAUUUGUCUUGUAGCUUACUCGCUUAUGUUAUUUUACCUACGCUUAGGAUGUUGAUAUGCAUGACUGAUAU